rnacentral:rRNA from 28 species
GAGAAUGGUCAAGUCGUAACACGGUAUCUGUAGGUGAACCUGCAGAUGGAUCAUUCAU